UACUAAGUUCUAAGCUCUCUAAGCUUUAGAGUUCUCAUCUCUCUAUUACUCACACAACACCUCCACUGUUUUUAUGAGAAUAAUCUAACUUACACAUUGGAGAGCCUUUGCCAGACACUUUGGGACAAGAGGGCUUUUCUAUUUAUAGUAUUUCAGAACCAGAUCCAGCAAUAUUGGAGUGAAAGUCCAACUGUGAUCCUCUUCUCCAACCAUUGAUCAAGUGCAAUCAAUCCAACUACAACCACAUCUAAGUCCCGACAACCAUCAUCCAUUAACUAAAGAGGCACAUCAAGAUCUCCAUCCAACUCCCUCAAUCCAUAUAGUAUCUCGUCAUUCCCUCCAGCAUACUAGCCAACUUGAUGAUUUAGUCAGACUAGAUCCCGAUGAUAAGAGCUAGAGGAAGGAUCUUGAUCCCAUCACCUAAGGUUUAAUCCCACGAUAGCCA
rnacentral:lncRNA from 1 species